GACGAACGCUGGCGGCGUGCCUAAUACAUGCAAGUCGAACGCAGUGGGGACGGGUGAGUAACACGUGGGUAACCUCCCAUCAGAGGGGAUAACACUUGGCAACAGGUGCUAAACUGAUACUGAUGGAUGGACCCGCGGGGCAUUAGCUAGUGGGUGGGGUAACGGCUCACCAAGGCGACGAUGCAUAGCCGACCUGAGAGGAUGAUCGGCCACACUGGGACUGAGACACGGCCCAGACUCCUACGGGAGGCAGCAGUAGGGAAUCUUCGGCAAUGGGCGAAAGUCUGACCGAGCAAUGCCGCGUGAGUGAAGAAGGUUUUCGGAUCGUAAAGCUCUGUUGUUAGAGAAGCGGUAUCUAACGAAGAAGCCACGGCUAACUCCGUGCCAGCAGCCGCGGUAAUAC
rnacentral:rRNA from 1 species